rnacentral:sRNA from 1 species
AGAUGCCCCAUCAUACUGCAGGCUCCAAGGUUUGAAACAAGGGGAUGAAUCCUAUACGCUCCACAGCACCUGUUGCCUUCAUUAGCAGCUUUUCCUCCUCUUCCCUGCACUUCCCAGAACCAAAGAAUGUGAAGGGGGUCCAUGGAGGUGAGUGAAGCUCUGGCUUCAACCUACAAGUACCUACAACUGUAUACUCCCUCUCCUGCCUACCUCUCUCUCUCUUUGACCUCCCAUUAUUAGAAGUUAACUCCUUGGCCCUGACAUCUCGAUUCCCAUACACCUGCCCCCACCCCAUCUUCCCGAGGUGAGUAGCACCCUGUGUUCCUAGUUCAGGCCCCAGCCCACCUUCCCUCGUGUUGUCCUUCUGGUCCUCGAGGCGACGCCCUUGCUUCCUUUACAGCUCUACCUUCACCCUUUGCUCUACGCAGAUCUUUCUCCACAGGGCUCACGUCCCCGCGCCCCGAGCGGCCACUCA